rnacentral:rRNA from 1 species
ACACGACUACAUUAGAUACCCGCGUAGUCCCAGCCCUAAACGAUGCGCGUUAGGUGUAUCGGUGACCACGAGUCACCGAGGUGCCGAAGGGAAACCGUGAAACGUGCCGCCUGGGAAGCACGGUCGCAAGGCUGAAACUUAAAGGAAUUGGCGGGGGAGCACCACAACGGGUGGAGCUUGCGGUUUAAUUGGACUCAACGCCGGGAAGCUCACCGGAUAAGACAGCGGAAUGAUUGCCGGGCUGAAGACCCUGCAUGACCAGCUG